GUGAGCACCACUUGAGGGUUUGGUCUGUCGCCCCUAAUUCUGAAGUUAUGCUCUAAG
rnacentral:pre_miRNA from 1 species